rnacentral:rRNA from 1 species
CAGUAGCCGCGGGAAUACGUAGGGUGCAAGCGUUAAUCGGAAUUACUGGGCGUAAAGCGUGCGCAGGCGGUUUGUUAAGACAGAUGUGAAAUCCCCGGGCUCAACCUGGGAACUGCAUUUGUGACUGGCAAGCUAGAGUGUGGCAGAGGGGGGUGGAAUUCCGCGUGUAGCAGUGAAAUGCGUAGAUAUGCGGAGGAACACCGAUGGCGAAGGCAGCCCCCUGGGCCAACACUGACGCUCAUGCACGAAAGCGUGGGGAGCAAACAGGAUUAGAUACCCCCGUAGUCCCUGUCUCUUAUCC